GCCUCCCACAAUCUUGUACGCCAAAAAAGUACUAGUCAACCUUGAAACUUAAAGGACCUGGCGGUGCUCCACAUCAUUCUAGAGGGGCCUGUCCAAUAAUUGAUAACACGCAAGAACCUAACCUAUUCUGGCCAAACAUAAGCCUAUAUACCGCCGUCGAAAGCACACUUUACAAAAACCGCAGCUAAAGAGUCACACCACUAGCACGUCAGGUCAAGGUGUAGCACAUGAACAGGGCAAGAUUGGCCACAGUAACACACAAGUCACACUGAAAAAUGUACUAAUUAGAAUUUAGCAGUAAGGGAUCCCGAACACCCCCCUGAAAUAUGCCCUAGAGCACGC
rnacentral:rRNA from 1 species